AUGCAGCACCGGGAGUUGCUGUUGUUGGUGCCGCCUCCCCGCAGUGCCGCUCUUUAUCUUCCUCUAUCUCACACAGGUCUUUCUUUAGUUUGUCUCACACAACACAAAGAACACACACGGGGCAGAAGACACACACACGCACACACACUUCACGAUAGAGAAACUAGCUUUGCCUCUUGUCUCCAGGUGAAAAGCACAUACACUACAUCAUGGCCCAGCCCUGUCGGCUCCUUUCCAUUGCUCAAUGUGACAUAUAUAUACACAGGAGGGCACACAGCCAGCCAUCACGCCCGGUCAUCACGCACACACUAA
rnacentral:rRNA from 1 species